AGGGUUCGAUUCUGGCUCAGGAUGAACGCUGGCGGCGUGCUUAACACAUGCAAGUCGAACGGGAUCCAUCAAGCUUGCUUGGUGGUGAGAGUGGCGAACGGGUGAGUAAUGCGUGACCGACCUGCCCCAUACACCGGAAUAGCUCCUGGAAACGGGUGGUAAUGCCGGAUGCUCCAGUUGGAUGCAUGUCCUUCUGGGAAAGCUUUUGCGGUAUGGGAUGGGGUCGCGUCCUAUCAGCUUGAUGGCGGGGUAACGGCCCACCAUGGCUUCGACGGGUAGCCGGCCUGAGAGGGCGACCGGCCACAUUGGGACUGAGAUACGGCCCAGACUCCUACGGGAGGCAGCAGUGGGGAAUAUUGCACAAUGGGCGCAAGCCUGAUGCAGCGACGCCGCGUGCGGGAUGACGGCCUUCGGGUUGUAAACCGCUUUUGACUGGGAGCAAGCCCUUCGGGGUGAGUGUACCUUUCGAAUAAGCACCGGCUAACUACGUGCCAGCAGCCGCGGUAAUACGUAGGGUGCAAGCGUUAUCCGGAAUUAUUGGGCGUAAAGGGCUCGUAGGCGGUUCGUCGCGUCCGGUGUGAAAGUCCAUCGCUUAACGGUGGAUCCGCGCCGGGUACGGGCGGGCUUGAGUGCGGUAGGGGAGACUGGAAUUCCCGGUGUAACGGUGGAAUGUGUAGAUAUCGGGAAGAACACCAAUGGCGAAGGCAGGUCUCUGGGCCGUUACUGACGCUGAGGAGCGAAAGCGUGGGGAGCGAACAGGAUUAGAUACCCUGGUAGUCCACGCCGUAAACGGUGGAUGCUGGAUGUGGGGCCCGUUCCACGGGUUCCGUGUCGGAGCUAACGCGUUAAGCAUCCCGCCUGGGGAGUACGGCCGCAAGGCUAAAACUCAAAGAAAUUGACGGGGGCCCGCACAAGCGGCGGAGCAUGCGGAUUAAUUCGAUGCAACGCGAAGAACCUUACCUGGGCUUGACAUGUUCCCGACGGUCGUAGAGAUACGGCUUCCCUUCGGGGCGGGUUCACAGGUGGUGCAUGGUCGUCGUCAGCUCGUGUCGUGAGAUGUUGGGUUAAGUCCCGCAACGAGCGCAACCCU
rnacentral:rRNA from 1 species